UUAUUUUUUCCGUAAGCAACGAAUGUAUAAUUUUAAACAUUGAUUUUCAGUGGUUAUUUUCCUCUGAUGAACUAAUCAUUUGACUGCGGCCAUGAUAGAGUACCGCUUUUCUGUUGAACAAAUCGACCACAGGACUUAUUCUUUAUAAGCCUAGUACUUAUUCUAACAGAGUCUUUUUGCCGAAUCACUAAGUUACGAGGACGUAAACACCAACAUUGGUUGUCAAGCGAUGGUGCGGGGACAAAUUAAUAAUGAUAUAUUUAUAUAUAUAUAUAUAUAUAAAACGAAGAAUUUGUGUCUGUA